rnacentral:rRNA from 1 species
GCGUGCUUAACACAUGCAAGUCGAACGGGGAUGUUUAUGGAAGGAGUGCUUGCACUUUGGAAAUGAGUAUCUUAGUGGCGGACGGGUGAGUAACGCGUGGGUAACCUGCCCCAUACCGGGGGAUACCACCUGGAAACAGGUGCUAAUACCGCAUAAGCGCACGGGAGCGCAUGCUCCUGUGUGAAAAACUCCGGUGGUAUGGGAUGGACCCGCGUCUGAUUAGCCAGUUGGCAGGGUAACGGCCUACCAAAGCGACGAUCAGUAGCCGGCCUGAGAGGGUGGACGGCCACAUUGGGACUGAGACACGGCCCAAACUCCUACGGGAGGCAGCAGUGGGGAAUAUUGCACAAUGGGGGAAACCCUGAUGCAGCGACGCCGCGUGAGUGAAGAAGUAUUUCGGUAUGUAAAGCUCUAUCAGCAGGAACGAGACAAGACGGUACCUGACUAAGAAGCCCCGGCUAACUACGUGCCAGCAGCCGCGGUAAUACGUAGGGGGCAAGCGUUAUCCGGAAUCACUGGGUGUAAAGGGAGCGUAGACGGCUGUGCAAGCCUGAAGUGAAAGGCGGGGGCCCAACCCCCGGACUGCUUUGGGAACUGUACGGCUGGAGUGCAGGAGAGGUAAGUGGGAAUUCCUAGUGUAGCGGUGAAAUGCGUAGUUAUUGGAGGGAACACCAGUGGGAAAGGCGGCUUACGGGACUGUAACUGACGUUGAGGCUCGAAAGCGGGGGGAGCAAACAGGAUUAGAUACCCUGGUAGUCCACGCCGUAAACGAUGAUUACUAGGUGUCGGGGGGCAGAGGCUCUUCGGUGCCGCAGCAAACGCAAUAAGUAAUCCACCUGGGGAGUACGUCCGCAAGGAUGAAACUCAAAGGAAUUGACGGGGACCCGCACAAGCGGUGGAGCAUGUGGUUUAAUUCGAAGCAACGCGAAGAACCUUACCCGGCCUUGACAUCCCCCUGACAGUGUAUGUAAUGUACAUUCCCUUCGGGGCAGGGGAGACAGGUGGUGCAUGGUUGUCGUCAGCUCGUGUCGUGAGAUGUUGGGUUAAGUCCCGCAACGAGCGCAACCCUUACCCACAGUAGCCAGCACAAAAGGUGGGCACUCUGUGGGGACUGCCGGGGACAACCCGGAGGAAGGUGGGGAUGACGUCAAAUCAUCAUGCCCCUUAUGGCCGGGGCUACACACGUGCUACAAUGGCGUAAACAAAGGGAAGCGAGAGAGCGAUCUUAAGCGAAACUCAAAAAUAACGUCCCAGUUCGGAUUGCAGUCUGCAACUCGACUGCAUGAAGCUGGAAUCGCUA